rnacentral:rRNA from 1 species
UACGGGGGGGGCAAGCGUUGUUCGGAAUUACUGGGCGUAAAGGGCGCGUAGGCGGCCGAUCAAGUCAGAUGUGAAAGUCCUGGGCUUAACCUGGGGACUGCAUAUGAUACUGAUUGGCUUGAAUUCGGGAGAGGAUAGCGGAAUUCCCAGUGUAGAGGUGAAAUUCGUAGAUAUUGGGAAGAACACCGGUGGCGAAGGCGGCUAUCUGGACCGACAUUGACGCUGAGGCGCGAAAGCGUGGGGAGCAAACAGG